rfam:Monodelphis domestica chromosome 1, whole genome shotgun sequence.
AGCUUUGCACAGUGGCAGUAUCAUAGCCAAUGAGGUUUAACUGAAGUGUGAUUAUUGCUAAUUGAAACAAUUUGUUCAGCUAUUCUCCAAUUGAUGGCAAUCCCUUCAAUUUUCAAUUCUUUACCAUCACAAAAAGA